AGGGGGGGCGGCAGCAGAGGGGGCGAGAGGUAGGAGGGAGAGAGGAAGGAGGAAGGAUUGAUCCGCGUCUGUUAAAGUCUUGUUCUGUUUUUUUCUUUAGAGCUUUUAGGUUUGAGCCGAAGCGCGUCUCGAGCGCAGCUCCCAAACUCCUGAAGCAGCUUUGUCCAGACGGAAGCUAACCUUGCAAUUUAAUUUUUUUUGCAAAGUGAAGAUCUACUUUACAGCAGCAAUCUGAUCCAAACGGCUCCAUUGUGGGCUAUUCUGCGUGCUUUCAUUGGGACUGAGUGUUGCUCGAGCAGCCCGCUGUUGAACACAAGGAGCGACUGACUGCAGGUCCCGGGCCGAUCUGUCACUGUGAUUAGGAAGGUUUUGGGAGGUGAUGUCAUCGCGCGGUGGUUCGCCUGGUAUUGUGACCCGGGGGCGCGCGGAGCCCCGCUGCAGCCGGCCGACCCGCGGUUAGGAGGAGUGCGGGAAAUCAGCUGGACCUGGCGCUCACACCGCCAUCAUCACUAUCACCACCCUCUCUGUCGGACAUUUAUCGGUCUCUUCCUACCCACCAACACCUCCUCCACCGAUCACCGACCACCGCCAGCUGAAGGGGUCGUAGCCAUGACCGAGGCUAAUACCCUGCAGCACGCGGCGCGCGCCGACCCCCCGUCUCCAGGUCACCGAUCCUUCCGGCUGCCAGUGCAACAGCAGAUCGCGACCCCGCCUCGCGGUGGGCACUAGAACCCCGCUGUGCGACCCUCUCCACACCAGAUCGGACUAUUAACACACGCCAACGCACCCUCUUGUUGCGCUGCAAGUAACAUCUCACUCACGGAGACGAUCCGGCUACGUUUUGUUUUAUUGCAACGGAACACAUCCUGACUUGGAAUAUUCUAAACUUUACACCAGGGGACCGAACUGAGAGAACGCAAGAGAGGUGGGGGCCAACAAGUAAAGUUGUCAGUCUGUCAGUGUCGCUCGUGGUCGCGCUUUCACCUGUUCAUCGUUUCGCCGGCGGCGCGCAUGCAGCAGCCGAACCGAUGCCCUAACCUUUUCCCCCUGGGCCCCGCCCCUUAUUUUUUCUCGCGGGCCGGACAGCUGUGAGAGGUUGCCCUGCGGUCACAGUGACAUUCACCCCGCCUGACACCUCGCCCCUCGCCGUCCGCCGUUCGACCGCUCCGCCUGGGGACGCCGAGGCACCGCCGAUGCCAACAGCGGUAGCCGUUGACUCAUUGACUCUGCACACCGUCCAGCGGAUUCACUACACGCACGGGAACCCUCCGGUGCGCCGGGCUGGCUCGGACGGAGCGCCGCGGAGACUGACUCCGGGCCGAGGUCCUUAGUGGAUGGGGGAAGCGAUGUGGUCCCUGCUCCCCAUGCUGGCUGUCUUGUAAGUCACUCUCACACAAUCCAUUUCACUUUUUUAUAGGAAAUUGUAUCUUAACUUCUCUCUUUACCUUUCGUUCUUUGGGAUGAUGGUUGGGUGUCAGGUGUGUGUGUGUGUGUGUGUGUGUGUGUGUGUGUGUGUGUGUGUGUGUGUGUGUGUGUGUGUGUGUGUGUGUGUGUGUGUGUGUGUGUGUGUGUGUGUGUGUGUGUGUGUGUGUGUGGGGAGGGGGGGGGGGGAG